rnacentral:rRNA from 1 species
GUAGGGAAUAUUGGGCAAUGGAUGCAAGUCUGACCCAGCCAUGCCGCGUGGAGGAAGAAGGUCCUCUGGAUUGUAAACUCCUUUUUUGGGGGAAGAAUAGUUCUCUUGCGAGGGAAUGUGACGGUACCCUAAGAAUAAGCCACGGCUAACUACGUGCCAGCAGCCGCGGUAAUACGUAGGUGGCAAGCGUUGUCCGGAUUUAUUGGGUUUAAAGGGUGCAUAGGUGGUUUGAUAAGUCAGUGGUGAAAGCUGGUUGCUCAACAAUCAAGUUGCCAUUGAUACUGUCGGACUUGAGAGAAGUGGAGGUUCAUGGAAUGGAUGGUGUAGCGGUGAAAUGCAUAGAUAUCAUCCAGAACGUCGAUUGCGAAGGCAGUGGGCUGUACUUUAUCUGACACUGAGGCACGAAAGUGUGGGGAUCAAACAGGAUUAGAAACCCUGGUAGUCC